GAAUGUGAGGGUGAUCUGGCUGUGACAUCUGUCACCCCAAUGAUUGCCAGGGUUGCUUCGGGUGAUCUGGUUAGCUAGGUGGAUGUCCCUUUCCUUCCUCACUGCUCCAUGUGUGUUCCUCCUGAAGCUCCAUGCUUGGUUGAAGAUCACCUUCCCCAAAUAGAGUAGGACCAGUCUUCGAGCUAGUGUGUAUGAAUAGAUGUGCUCCCCUGUUUGAACCUCCAAAGAAGCUUUGAAGUCUAUAUUCUUGAUCAUCAAAUUAAUGAUUUUCAUAAAGAGAUUUACAAAAUUGUUAAAGUGACCUUUAAAUAG
rfam:Rattus norvegicus chromosome 8, whole genome shotgun sequence.